CCUACGGGGGGCAGCAGUGAGGAAUAUUGGUCAAUGGGCGAGAGCCUGAACCAGCCAAGUCGCGUGAGGGAGUACUGCCCUAUGGGUUGUAAACCUCUUUUGUCGGGGAGCAAAAGCCGGACGUGUCCGGCUGCGAGAGUACCCGAAGAAAAAGCAUCGGCUAACUCCGUGCCAGCAGCCGCGGUAAUACGGAGGAUGCGAGCGUUAUCCGGAUUUUUUGGGUUUAAAGGGUGCGCAGGCGGAUUUUUAAGUUUGCGGUCAAAUCGUGGGGCUCAACCCCGUCCAGCCGUUGAAACUGGGGAUCUAGAGUGUGCGAGAGGUAUGCGGAAUGCGUGGUGUAGCGGUGAAAUGCAUAGAUAUCACACAGAACCCCGAUUGCGAAGGCAGCAUACCGGUGCACAACUGACGCUCAGGCACGAAAGCGUGGGUAUCGAACAGGAUUAGAUACCCGUGUAGUC
rnacentral:rRNA from 1 species